rnacentral:rRNA from 1 species
GGACUACCGGGGUAUCUAAUCCUGUUUGCUCCCCUAGCUUUCGCGCCUCAGCGUCAGUUAUGGUCCAGUGCGCCGCUUUCGCCACAGGUGUUCCUCCUGAUAUCUACGCAUUUCACCGCUACACCAGGAAUUCCACGCACCUCUCCCAUACUCCAGCACGGCAGUUUCGCCUGCAGACUCCCGGUUGAGCCGGGAGAUUUCACAGGUGACUUACCGCACCGCCUACGCGCCCUUUACGCCCAAUAAUUCCGAACAACGCUCGCACCCUCUGUAUUACCGCGGCUGCUGGCAC